CAGCAAUGAAGAGGACGUGAGGCGUUGUUUGUCUGGGACUUUGUGCGUUCACACUGCUGCAUGUUCUUCAGCACCUUCAAAAGAAGAACACAUUUGAUCAAAUAAGAAAAAGUCACACUUGCAAAGUGCAUACUGUCUAAAGUGUGGAUGGACCCAGUGCAGAUGUCAAACUGCUCUCCACUUCCCAGGCUGCCCCGAAAUGUGGCUUCAGCACCUUUCUGGAUGUGGUUCUCCACCUGAGGAAGAGUCAACGACAUCUGCUGCUCUGAAGUUUGGCUUCAGCACCUUCUGGAUGUGGUUCUCCACCUGAGGAAGAAAGGAAACAACAUGCAGUAUUACAUUUGGACCCCCCCCAAAAAAUGAAAAAAAGCCAGGAUUACACUGACAACCAUCUCCUCUUGGCUGUGAACCUUUAUUGCGUUGCGAUCUCUCUGGAAAAGAAGACAUCUGCUGCUCCGAAGUUUGGCUUCAGCACCUUCUGGAUGUGGUUGUCCACCUGAGGAUGAGGCAACAGCAUGCAGCCCAGGAAGACAUCAACAACCAGCUCAGUGUUGUGGAAUGGACCUUCAAUGCCAGCGUGGACCAGCCUGUCGUCACCUCCCUGAAACACAAAAAGACAUCUGUGAGUCAAACAAACGAAGAUUUUUUUUUGGUAACAAAUUAUGUUUGAUAUGAAACAGACCAGCAAUGAAGAGGACAAGGCGUUGUUUUUUCUGGGAUGUUGCACGUUCACACUGCUGCAUGUUCUUCAGUACCUUCAAAAGAAGAACACAUUUGAUCAAAUAAGAUAAAGUCACAAUUGCAUAGUGCAUACUGUCUAAAGUGUGGAUGGACCCAGUGCAGAUGUCAAACUGCCCCGAAAUGUGGCUUCAGCACCUUCUGGAUGUGGUUCACCACCUGAGGAAGAGGCAACAAUAUCUGUGCAGGAUGCUGACGGUCGGGGUGCUUCUCCUCCAGGAUGCUGUGCUAGUACUGGAAUGAAAAAGCAGUCGAUGACGACGCCACGUUUCCGCCACGACACUUUGAUUCAUCAAGUCGGACUUUGACGAUGGAGGUCUUCACGAGUUGGCGUUCUCCACAUCGGACCCCGUCACAGCCCGAGGAGGUCUCAGCGCCACCUGGUGGACGUUGAAGACAACCAAUGCGAGCACACAGGCAUCUCUGGAUCAAGUCAAGAGGCUCCUUCAGUCUCAUCACAGCAGCAGGAAGUGACGUCACCUACGAUGUGCACAACUAUGUGAAGACCAAUGCGAGUGAGUCUCACCCGGGAGGAGAGAGCGAGACCGAGCUGGACGUCUUGAAGACCUGCAGCACGGUUUUAUUGAGGAGUGGUGUACAAUGAUAUGGGGCACAGGUGGCCACAGAGCUUUGGGUGGCCCCCACUGGUGGAGCUCACGUUGAUUCGCAGCACCGAGGCCAGGAACUUGUUGGGCUCAGCCCGACGGUGUCGGACCCGUCAGCUCGGCUCUCCUUCUCCGGAGCGGACUGCGACCCGGCCGUGAUGACAGCGCUGCGCAAGAGAUUACAGCCCCUGAUAGUGCGGUGCGCCAGCGUAAUGCACACGCUGCCCUUUUAACUAGAAAACGCAGGCUAGCUCCCAGCGCUGUCCGCCCAGAUCACAUCUGCCCGCCGGUUGGGCCCAGGAGCCGGCACGGGACACUCAAAUCUGCACAAUCCACAAUAAAUGUGUUCGUAUAAUAUACUAUUGUCACUGUCAACUGUACCACUAUAUGAAAGUCUGAUUAUACAUUAUGUCAUAAACAUGUCUUACGUUAGUAAAGCUAUGCUACAUUAUUCAUGUUAUAUAAAACAUGAGGUCUUACUAUACAUGUCAUGAAAUCUUUUGCAUUAUUUCACAAUAAACGGGUUAGUUUGG